UCGGCUGCACUCGGCUUUUCUCGGCAGCUGCUUCGUUGCUCAGCAUGGAGCAGCAGUAGCAGCGGCGGACCGACGCUUUUCAUCACGGUUAACUUUGCAGAUCUGGUGGAGAUGGCUGGAAGUUAAGCUUCAUCACUAUAAUAGCUGGAAGUAUUAUGUGCAGCUAUAAUUUAGUUUCUCUCAUUUUAUAAAUAUUAUAAUCUGAUAUUUUUAUUCUGAGCAUCCAACAUUCUGCAGGCUCCCUGAUGGGGCCCUCAGCCUCUAAAGAGGCUUGGGCUCUCAGAGAGAAAGGGCCAGACCCUUGGAGGAGGUGGAGGUCAGGGUGGGGACGCCUCCACCCUCAUCCUCAGCCGCUGCUCCCUGCAGUUCAGGAUGUUCUCAGGGAGAACCCUGCAGUGGCUGCUGGAGAACAACCUGGUCUCCUCCCACCAGAAGGAGAGGACAGGGUCUCAGUCCCCCUCAUGGUCAAUAAGGUAGAACCUGCUCUGUUAUUAGGAGCCCUUUGGUUCUCUUCAGUCUUAAUCCUGUCUGCGUCCUUGCAGCUCCGCCUCAUUCUACCCUGACUUCAUGGAGGCAGUCAGGUUCCUCUGGGCCUCUGAGGAGGAGCAGGCCCAGUCCUGUCAGCCUGGCCAGGAGGGACAGGUCCUUGUUGGCUUUGAGGACUUUAAAUACGAGCCUCUAUGAUUCUGAGGAGCCUCAGAAGAUCCGCUAUGACAGAACGGUGGAACCUGUGAAUGUUUAGCAUCUGCAGCCCGUCAGUCAGCUGACCGUCUGUCUCACCUGCUCAGGGUGGAGGACUACCUGCGGCGGACGUCCUCUGCUCCAGGCUCCACAUGGAGAAGGCUGUGGGCUACGUUCACCGCAGGGAAGUGUUAGCUGCAGUUUUUAACUUUUAAUGGAUUAUAAAAUCAUGUUUCCUGCUUUCAGCUUCUUGCCUUGGUGUCGUCACGGCGUUCUCCGUCUGGGUGGAGAUGCAGGCGGCGAUGAAGAAGCUCAGCUCCUCACUAAGCCUGCAGCUCCAGGUGAGAUGAAAUUCACAGGAGAUGCGCCGAGCAUGCUGGGAUUCUCUGUGAUUCUUCUCCAGCAGAAACCUGAGACCAGCUCCUCCCGCCCAGACCCCUGUGGAGCCCAGCGACGAGGAGCUGAUGAGGAGAAGUCCUCAGAUAAAGAAGCAGAGGAAGGUCCUUCCACCUCCUCCCUGCCGUCUCCGCUGAGCUGGAGGACCCGACUGAUGAGGAGCUGCUGGAGGCCUGAAGGCGGAGCCUCCGUUCAGCCGCUGGACCUCCAGAGACGCCCAGCAGACAGGACGCCCCCCCUGUACCGUCAGCUGCCUGCCUCCUGACGGCGUACGGCUACGACGUGGUGAUGCGGCUGGACGAGUUCAAGGCCCAGAUCACGUCCACUGCAAUAACGGAUUGGCGACCUUGGGAUCCAUUUUGAAAUGGAGGCAGAGGUUCUUGGACCUGAUCCGGUCGAGGAUCUCACCAGGCCUGCUGCGUACAGGAGAACUCAUCAGACUUCCUGUUUGCUGCAGACAGGAAGCGUGUUUGAGGACGUCAGCGUGGAUCCUGACAGGAGGAGGAAGAGCAGGAGGAGGAGGAGGAGGAGCCCACCAUCUUCCCUCCAGACUCCUCCUCCUCUCCUGCAGCCUCUCAGUCAGGAGCAUCCUGGUGGUCCCUCAUCCACAGCGACUACGUGUCGAUACGGCAGACGGUGCUGGGAGCCCGAGGCUGAUGGCUCAGACCUCCAUCCAGAUCAACCAGAGGACCUUCUCCCAGUGGUGAGAGCUUUGUAACUGGAGACUGUCUGUGUGUCGUCUCCAUCAGCAGUGGGAGACGUCUGUGAUGGAGCAGGGAGUCUCCAUGGUUGCUCCAUCUGUGGCAGACCGAGCCCUGCUUCCUGCAGAGGAGCCCUCCUUGGAGAUGGUGAUGGAACCUGUGCAGGUGUGGGCAGCUGAGCAGACACUGGGCUCAGCAGGAUCAGGGUGUGUCCUACUGGCCACAGUAAGAAUGGAGGAGGGACUUUAAAAAGAAUGUUAUUAGAAUUCCUAUUAUAACUACCAGUCUGUU